CAGUGAGGAAUAUUGCGCAAUGGGGGAAACCCUGACGCAGCGACGCCGCGUGGGUGAGGAAGGCUUUCGGGUCGUAAAGCUCUGUCAGAAGGGAAGAAGUGCUUAUAGGCUAAUACCUUGUAAGUUUGACGGUACCUUCAAAGGAAGCACCGGCUAACUCCGUGCCAGCAGCCGCGGUAAUACGGAGGGUGCAAGCGUUGUUCGGAAUCACUGGGCGUAAAGGGCGCGUAGGCGGCUUGGUAAGUCAGAUGUGAAAGCCCACGGCUUAACCGUGGAAGUGCAUUUGAAACUGCUUGGCUUGAGUAUCAGAGGGGAAAGUGGAAUUCCCGGUGUAGAGGUGAAAUUCGUAGAUAUCGGGAGGAAUACCGGUGGCGAAGGCGACUUUCUGGCUGAAUACUGACGCUGAGGCGCGAAAGCGUGGGGAGCAAACAGGAUUAGAUACCCUGGUAGUCCACGCCGUAAACGAUGUCAACUAGGUGCAGGGGGUGUUGAUCCCCUCUGUGUCGCAGCUAACGCAUUAAGUUGACCGCCUGGGGAGUACGGUCGCAAGAUUAAAACUCAAAGGAAUUGACGG
rnacentral:rRNA from 1 species